rnacentral:rRNA from 1 species
AGAGUUUGAUCAUGGCUCAGGACGAACGCUGGCGGCGUGCUUAACACAUGCAAGUCGAGCGAUGAAGCUUCUUCGGAAGUGGAUUAGCGGCGGACGGGUGAGUAACACGUGGGUAGCCUGCCUUAUAGCGGGGAAUAGCCUUUCGAAAGGAAGAUUAAUACCCCAUAAGAUUGUAGUUUCGCAUGAAACAGCAAUUAAAGGAGCAAUUCGCUAUAAGAUGGACCCGCGGCGCAUUAGCUAGUUGGUG